rnacentral:rRNA from 1 species
UACAGAGGUCCCGAGCGUUGUUCGGAUUCAUUGGGCGUAAAGGGUGCGUAGGCGGUUUUUUAAGUUUGAUGUGAAAUCCCGGGGCUUAACCCUGGAAUUGCAUUGAAUACUGAAGAACUAGAGUACUGGAGAGGAAACUGGAAUUUACGGUGUAGCAGUGAAAUGCGUAGAGAUGCGGAGGAACACCGAUGGCGAAGGCAGCCCCCUGGGCUGACACUGACGCCUCAGGCACGAAAGCGUGGGGAGCAAACAGG